ensembl:snoRNA
UAGCAAGCCUCCAGCGCGCCCAGGUCUGCGGUGACCUUGUGUUCCUUCAGUUCAAGCCAAAAGAGUUUUGAAAGCUUUUGAGGCCUUGCUCUGCUCCCCCCAGAACAAGGUUAUAGAAAUUUCCAACAAUU